AUGAAAUGUUGACACCCUUG
rnacentral:misc_RNA from 1 species